UAAGCGACUAAGCGUACACGGUGGAUGCCCUGGCAGUCAGAGGCGAUGAAGGACGUGCUAAUCUGCGAUAAGCGUCGGUGAGGUGAUAUGAACCGUUAUAACCGGCGAUUUCCGAAUGGGGAAACCCAGUGUGUUUCGACACACUAUCAUUAACUGAAUCCAUAGGUUAAUGAGGCGAACCGGGGGAACUGAAACAUCUAAGUACCCCGAGGAAAAGAAAUCAACCGAGAUUCCCCCAGUAGCGGCGAGCGAACGGGGAGGAGCCCAGAGCCUGAAUCAGUGUGUGUGUUAGUGGAAGCGUCUGGAAAGGCGCGCGAUACAGGGUGACAGCCCCGUACACAAAAAUGCACAUAUUGUGAGCUCGAUGAGUAGGGCGGGACACGUGGUAUCCUGUCUGAAUAUGGGGGGACCAUCCUCCAAGGCUAAAUACUCCUGACUGACCGAUAGUGAACCAGUACCGUGAGGGAAAGGCGAAAAGAACCCCGGCGAGGGGAGUGAAAAAGAACCUGAAACCGUGUACGUACAAGCAGUGGGAGCCUCUUAAUGGGGUGACUGCGUACCUUUUGUAUAAUGGGUCAGCGACUUAUAUUCUGUAGCAAGGUUAACCGAAUAGGGGAGCCGAAGGGAAACCGAGUCUUAACUGGGCGUUAAGUUGCAGGGUAUAGACCCGAAACCCGGUGAUCUAGCCAUGGGCAGGUUGAAGGUUGGGUAACACUAACUGGAGGACCGAACCGACUAAUGUUGAAAAAUUAGCGGAUGACUUGUGGCUGGGGGUGAAAGGCCAAUCAAACCGGGAGAUAGCUGGUUCUCCCCGAAAGCUAUUUAGGUAGCGCCUCGUGAAUUCAUCUCCGGGGGUAGAGCACUGUUUCGGCAAGGGGGUCAUCCCGACUUACCAACCCGAUGCAAACUGCGAAUACCGGAGAAUGUUAUCACGGGAGACACACGGCGGGUGCUAACGUCCGUCGUGAAGAGGGAAACAACCCAGACCGCCAGCUAAGGUCCCAAAGUCAUGGUUAAGUGGGAAACGAUGUGGGAAGGCCCAGACAGCCAGGAUGUUGGCUUAGAAGCAGCCAUCAUUUAAAGAAAGCGUAAUAGCUCACUGGUCGAGUCGGCCUGCGCGGAAGAUGUAACGGGGCUAAACCAUGCACCGAAGCUGCGGCAGCGACACUAUGUGUUGUUGGGUAGGGGAGCGUUCUGUAAGCCUGUGAAGGUGGCCUGUGAGGGUUGCUGGAGGUAUCAGAAGUGCGAAUGCUGACAUAAGUAACGAUAAAGCGGGUGAAAAGCCCGCUCGCCGGAAGACCAAGGGUUCCUGUCCAACGUUAAUCGGGGCAGGGUGAGUCGACCCCUAAGGCGAGGCCGAAAGGCGUAGUCGAUGGGAAACAGGUUAAUAUUCCUGUACUUGGUGUUACUGCGAAGGGGGGACGGAGAAGGCUAUGUUGGCCGGGCGACGGUUGUCCCGGUUUAAGCGUGUAGGCUGGUUUUCCAGGCAAAUCCGGAAAAUCAAGGCUGAGGCGUGAUGACGAGGCACUACGGUGCUGAAGCGACAAAUGCCCUGCUUCCAGGAAAAGCCUCUAAGCAUCAGGUAACAUCAAAUCGUACCCCAAACCGACACAGGUGGUCAGGUAGAGAAUACCAAGGCGCUUGAGAGAACUCGGGUGAAGGAACUAGGCAAAAUGGUGCCGUAACUUCGGGAGAAGGCACGCUGAUAUGUAGGUGAAGCGACUUGCUCGUGGAGCUGAAAUCAGUCGAAGAUACCAGCUGGCUGCAACUGUUUAUUAAAAACACAGCACUGUGCAAACACGAAAGUGGACGUAUACGGUGUGACGCCUGCCCGGUGCCGGAAGGUUAAUUGAUGGGGUUAGCGGUAACGCGAAGCUCUUGAUCGAAGCCCCGGUAAACGGCGGCCGUAACUAUAACGGUCCUAAGGUAGCGAAAUUCCUUGUCGGGUAAGUUCCGACCUGCACGAAUGGCGUAAUGAUGGCCAGGCUGUCUCCACCCGAGACUCAGUGAAAUUGAACUCGCUGUGAAGAUGCAGUGUACCCGCGGCAAGACGGAAAGACCCCGUGAACCUUUACUAUAGCUUGACACUGAACAUUGAGCCUUGAUGUGUAGGAUAGGUGGGAGGCUUUGAAGUGUGGACGCCAGUCUGCAUGGAGCCGACCUUGAAAUACCACCCUUUAAUGUUUGAUGUUCUAACGUGGGCCCCUUACCGGGGUUGCGGACAGUGUCUGGUGGGUAGUUUGACUGGGGCGGUCUCCUCCUAAAGAGUAACGGAGGAGCACGAAGGUUGGCUAAUCCUGGUCGGACAUCAGGAGGUUAGUGCAAUGGCAUAAGCCAGCUUGACUGCGAGCGUGACGGCGCGAGCAGGUGCGAAAGCAGGUCAUAGUGAUCCGGUGGUUCUGAAUGGAAGGGCCAUCGCUCAACGGAUAAAAGGUACUCCGGGGAUAACAGGCUGAUACCGCCCAAGAGUUCAUAUCGACGGCGGUGUUUGGCACCUCGAUGUCGGCUCAUCACAUCCUGGGGCUGAAGUAGGUCCCAAGGGUAUGGCUGUUCGCCAUUUAAAGUGGUACGCGAGCUGGGUUUAGAACGUCGUGAGACAGUUCGGUCCCUAUCUGCCGUGGGCGCUGGAGAACUGAGGGGGGCUGCUCCUAGUACGAGAGGACCGGAGUGGACGCAUCACUGGUGUUCGGGUUGUCAUGCCAAUGGCACUGCCCGGUAGCUAAAUGCGGAAGAGAUAAGUGCUGAAAGCAUCUAAGCACGAAACUUGCCCCGAGAUGAGUUCUCCCUGACUCCUUGAGAGUCCUGAAGGAACGUUGAAGACGACGACGUUGAUAGGCCGGGUGUGUAAGCGCAGCGAUGCGUUGAGCUAACCGGUACUAAUGAACCGUGAGGCUUAACCU
rnacentral:rRNA from 1 species